rnacentral:rRNA from 1 species
CCAGACUCCUACGGGAGGCAGCAGUGGGGAAUCUUCCGCAAUGGGCGAAAGCCUGACGGAGCAACGCCGCGUGAUCGAAUGAAGGCCUUCGGGUUGUAAAGAUCUGUUGACAGGGACGAAUAAGCAAUGCGAAUAGUUUUGUGUAUGACGGUACCUGUUUAGAAAGCUCCGGCUAACUACGUGCCAGCAGCCGCGGUAAUACGUAGGGGGCGAGCGUUGUCCGGAAUUACUGGGCGUAAAGAGAGCGUAGGCGGCACUACAAGUCUCAUGUGAAAUACCCGGGCUUAACUUGGGGGUUGCAUGGGAAACUGUAGAGCUUGAGUACAGGAGAGGCAAGCGGAAUUCCUAGUGUAGCGGUGAAAUGCAUAGAUAUUAGGAGGAACACCAGUGGCGAAGGCGGCUUGCUGGACUGAAACUGACGCUGAGGCUCGAAAGCGUGGGGAGCAAACAGGAUUAGAUACCCGGGUA